CAUGCCGCGUGCAGGAAGAAGGCCUUCGGGUUGUAAACUGCUUUUGUACGGAACGAAAAGGCUCUGGUUAAUACCCGGGGCUCAUGACGGUACCGUAAGAAUAAGCACCGGCUAACUACGUGCCAGCAGCCGCGGUAAUACGUAGGGUGCGAGCGUUAAUCGGAAUUACUGGGCGUAAAGCGUGCGCAGGCGGUGUUGUAAGACAGGCGUGAAAUCCCCGGGCUCAACCUGGGAAUUGCGCUUGUGACUGCAAGGCUGGAGUGCGGCAGAGGGGGAUGGAAUUCCGCGUGUAGCAGUGAAAUGCGUAGAUAUGCGGAGGAACACCGAUGGCGAAGGCAAUCCCCUGGGCCUGCACUGACGCUCAUGCACGAAAGCGUGGGGAGCAAACAGGAUUAGAUACCCUGGUAGUCCACGCCCUAAACGAUGUCAACUGGUUGUUGGGUCUCUUCUGACUCAGUAACGAAGCUAACGCGUGAAGUUGACCGCCUGGGGAGUACGGCCGCAAGGUUGAAACU
rnacentral:rRNA from 1 species